UGCAAUUGCUUGGAUGAGUCAGGGGGUACAUGGGAAACAUGGGGUAAAAAACAGAAAAGUGAUGAAGGCCUAGGGCAAGUGAGCCCAGUUACAUGCAUGUUAGGGGAACCAUUCAAUAUUCAGAAUACAAUUAAAAUGAAAAAAAAAUGCAAAAAUGCAUGCAAUGAACUUCCAACACAAUCAAAUGUCUCAAACCUUAAACCACCCUCCUCCACCGCGCUAGAGGUCGCCUCUGGCGGCGUUGGAGUUCCAAAACAAAAAUUAACACCACCAUCAAACUCGUAUCAUCAUGCACGUAAUGAAUCCAUGGUUAUUUUCAGUUGAUUCUCAUCUUAAUGCCCAAACAGAAGAGGAAUUUGUGAAGAACCCUAACGCUAAAGGUAAAAUAAAAUGCUCAACAUGAGGAAUCAAAGCCAAAGAGGUUAGGGCUUUGAUUCCUCCCUUCUCAAUCUACAUCCUAGUAACUUUAAUUGAAGCAAACAACGAAGAAAAGUGGAUACUCACCGGAGAGGAUGCAACUGGAACCGGAGCUCAGGCUUCACCCUUAUGGAAUCAUACUAGCAAGAUUGGAAAUGCCAUGGAUGGAAAUGUGGAGGUUUCUUACACAUGAAGCUACCUUUGAUCAUGAAGUUGGAAGUGAUGAUGCUAUCAUGGAGAAUCCAUCAAGGAAGUUUGGAUUAGGGAUGACUUAGGUGGAUUGACCAAAAAGUCAAUAAUUGACCAAAGUCAACUGUAGGUCAAACAUUAGUUUUUGUGUGUAAUUGCAUGUAUUUUUGUAUGGACAAUGUAGAAAUGAUUUUGUAUGAAUAAAAUGAAGGUUUUAUGCAUGAGAAAAUGCUUAUGACCAAUGAAACAUGAUUUGCAUUCAAAUGCCAUUUCCUUCCAAA